rnacentral:lncRNA from 1 species
UAUUGCUAAAAAAUAGACUACGUGAGAAAACCUAAUAAUUUUUUUUAGGAUCCCACGUCACUACAACAGAAUUAAGUUAUAGCGACACAUGUUUGGGAUACUUUUGAGUAAGUGUCCUAUUUAUUCUAAAACUUAAAAAAACAUCUAUUAAUGCCUAAAUAGAAAGUCCAAUCCAACCAAAAAUAAAAGAUUACUCUACUUAACUCACCACAUCCAGUCCAUUUGGCCCGAUUACAAAUAGAAAAGAAAAAAAAAAAGAAAAAUCAAUUACCAUCUUUUCUUCUCUCUUCACUCAAUCCACUGAAAUUCUAGACGAAGAGUCUUUCCUGUCGUCCUCCUCCGCCACCGCAGCCAACGAGAUAGAGUUUCGGCAGUUGCUAAAUGCUUAAAUAAGUGUUGGUAAAUUAGCAGUACUCUUUUAGGUUAUAGCGACACUCUUUAACUGUCACUAUAUACCUAGCGACCCCACAUAUAGCAACACUUUUUAAAAGUGUCGGUAAUUUUAGCUAGCAGUAUUUUUUUGACAUGUACCUAUAUUUAAAAGUGUCGCUAUAAACCGUUUUUGUUGUAGUGCGUGAGAAUAAAAAUUAUAAUUUCCUAAGUUUCAAUAAUUGGG